GGUCGCAAGGCCGAAACUUAAAGGAAUUGACGGAAGGGGCACCACCAGGAGUGGAAUCUGCGGCUUAAUUUGACUCAACGCGGGAAAACUCACCAGGUCAGGACACGGUAAGGAUUGACGGACUGAAGGCUCUUUCUCGAUUCCGUGGAAAGUGGUGCAUGGCCGUUUUUGGUUGGUGGAUCGAUCCGUCUGGUUAAUUCCGUUAACGAACGAGACCUCGGCACUCCGAAUAGCGCGGCGGACGUCGCGGCCUCCGGGCCGUCUUCCGCACGAGCUUCUUAGAGGGACCGUCCCCCGCCGGGGAAGGAGGUGCGAGGCAACGACAGGUCUGUGAUGCCCUUAGAUGUUCUGGGCCGCACGCGCAUUACACUGACGCGUCCAACGGGUGACUCCCGACCCGAAGGGGCCGGGGAAUCCGCAAGGCGCGUCGUGAUGGGGAUUGAACGUUGCAAUUGUUGUUCACGAACGAGGAAUUCCUAGUAGGCGCGGGUCAUCAACCCGCGCCGAUUACGUCCCUGCCCUUUGUACACACCG
rnacentral:rRNA from 1 species